GAAGACAUGUAGGUGUAUUGGGGGUAGACCAGUUCAGUACCUUAUCAGCUCAGGUUGUUGCAUUACAAAACAUGAUUAACACUCAGUUUAGUAGCCCAAAAUUUGGAGCUCCACAGCCUACAGAAGUAGUCAAUGUAGUUCAGUAAACUAGUGGUUGAUAGGAGAUCUGUAGAAAUAGUGGCUAUUCAGCUACCAUAUGUGCUUCAAAUUCGAAAUUAGUGAUGUACAUAGGCAAUGCUCAAAGGCCAAAUUAUGGUAAUUCCUACAAUAUGAAAUGGUAGACUCAGCCAUGGAAC
rnacentral:lncRNA from 1 species